rnacentral:lncRNA from 1 species
AAUGCAGCACACUGACCACGUGGUAUAGUCAAGUGAAUCCUUGUGCCCUAUAAUAAUUUAUGCACAAUUUAGGACACACAUAAAAGCUGAAGCAUAUAAUAUAUGCAGUAAAUAUAACUUUAACCAAAUAUAUCAUUUUUUUCACAAACCUGUAUAAAAUCUAUAUAACUAUGUAACUAAAAACACUAUAACUAUAAUAUCAUAAAGAGGGUACAGUAUUGCAGUUUAGAAGAUUUUAAAUUUUACUGCCAAUUCAGACUUUUCUUAAUCUAAACACACAUUUGCCUGAAAAAUAUUGUAUAUGUUACACAUAAUGUAUUUAAUCUCUGAAAUGCAUCUUUUUAACUUGUGUAAAUAUUUUGAAGCUAAACAGUAAGUGUUAGGUAACAUUAGCACAAAAUGUUUGACAUAAAGUAUCACUUCUUGAUGAACUACAUCUAUGAGCAAUUUUAGAAAGUUUAUUAUACUUUUUAUCUGCAGCACAUCUUAAAAGAAAAUAAUAACUCCGCUGGACCAUAUGCAUUUUUAAUAUAACAGAUCAUACAUUAGCUACUUGAUAUAAUACCUCACUAUCAUGGACAAUACAUUCAAUAGAUGAUUGGUCCACUCCAUACUUAGUGCCAUAGCAACGAAUACAUCUCACUUUUAUCAUUGAAUUUGUGACAGACGGAUGCAAAUCCACAAUCUUCGUAUAAAUAGGUGCCAUUAUGUCUUCAAAUAUCUGCAGUCAUGCAAAAAAAUAUUCACUUAGUAUUUGCAACAUUUUGUAAUAUUUAGAAUUUACAUAGAGCAUCUGUUCUACUUAUAGCUAAAAUACAAAUAUUUGAAACAGUCAUCAGCUUUCCAACAAAGAGAUUAGGAGUAAAGGUACAGGAUAAAAACAACAUUUUAUGUACUUAUAGCUAUAAUAGAAAUAUUCAUAACACAUUUUUUUCAGCAAAGACAACAUGAGUAGAAGUAUACAAACAACAUUUUUUGUAUUUAUAGCUAUAAUACAAAUAUUUGUAACACAGGUUUCAGGUUUCCAAUAAAGACAACAGGAGUAAAGGUAUACAAACAACAUUUUUUGUAUUUAUAGCUAUAAUAGAAAUAUUUGUAACACAGGUUUCAGCUUUCCAACAAAUACAACAGGAGAAAAGGUAUACGAACAUGUGAACAGAUAAUUCUUUCAGAAUUAUCUUUUCAAUGUUAAAAUUACUUGUUUCAGAAAUAUUUGGAAUAGUACGUGAUAAAACAAACUGUAAUCUCUAUUUCAGUUUUUUUUUUUUUCAAGCUGAUCUCUAUUUCAUUUUUCAAUGAUAUACAAACUGUGAUCACAUAUUCUGUAAACAAUGUUAUACAGUGACAAUGUUAUGUGAUGUAUAUAAUAAAAUCAAACACAAAAGAUUAUAAACAUCUAUCAAAUAUACUUUAGAAUCUUGCAUUUUAAAAUCGAAAACCCUAUUCUUUCAGAAAAAAAUAAAUAAAAAAAAAGAUGCUUUGGAAGAGAAGAACAAACUACCAGCUAAAUUUUUUUGAAAACCUUUUUGAAAAUGAACAUAGGAAAUGAAGAGAUUAAAACGAAAACCAUUUUUUGAAAGAAACAAAUUUUUGAAAGAGAAGAACAAAAUAUCUGCAAAUUUUUUUACAAACCUUUUCGAAACUGAACUGAGGAAAUGAAGAGAUUCUGGUUCUAUUUAUAGGAAAAUUCUAGACACAAUUUUGAAAUUUGAAUUUUGGCUCCAUGUUUGGGGCCCAAGUUUAUUACAAAUCAGAUGCUUUUAAUGCUCAAAUCGUGAUUAUCAAGGCAAUUAUAGGUUAACAAAAAAACCUCUGAAUAUUAGCACAAUUACACAGCAGACUUCUUCACAAACAGAAAUACAUUGGUUAAAGAGGUGGACCAUUUUCCCGCCAAAAUGGAUCCUAAUGGCUCAG